AUUGAACGCUGGCGGCAGGCCUAACACAUGCAAGUCGAGCGCGAAAGUUCUUCGGAAUGAGUAAAGCGGCGGACGGGUGAGUAAUACAUGGGAAUCUGCCUGGUAGUGGGGGACAACGUUUCGAAAGGAACGCUAAUACCGCAUACGCCCUACGGGGGAAAGGGGGGGAUCGCAAGACCUCUCGCUAUCAGAUGACGCCC
rnacentral:rRNA from 1 species